rnacentral:rRNA from 1 species
UGAGGAAUCUUCCACAAUGGGGGCAACCCUGAUGGAGCAACGCCGCGUGCAGGAUGAAGGCCUUCGGGUCGUAAACUGCUUUUAUGAGUGAAGAAUAUGACGGUAACUCAUGAAUAAGCACCGGCUAACUACGUGCCAGCAGCCGCGGUCAUACGUAGGGUGCAAGCAUUAUCCGGAGUGACUGGGCGUAAAGAGUUGCGUAGGCGGUUAGUAAAGCGAAUAGUGAAACCUGGUGGCUCAACCAUACAGACUAUUAUUCGAACUCACUAACUCGAGAGUAGCAGAGGUAACUGGAAUUUCUAGUGUAGGAGUGAAAUCCGUAGAUAUUAGAAGGAACACCAAUGGCGUAGGCAGGUUACUGGGCUAUUUCUGACGCUAAGGCACGAAAGCGUGGGGAGCGAACC